AUUGAACGCUGGCGGCAGGCUUAACACAUGCAAGUCGAGCGGAGCGAGGGUGCUUGCACCUUAGCUUAGCGGCGGACGGGUGAGUAAUGCUUAGGAAUCUGCCUAUUAGUGGGGGACAACAUUCCGAAAGGAAUGCUAAUACCGCAUACGCCCUACGGGAGAAAGCAGGGGAUCUUCGGACCUUGCGCUAAUAGAUGAGCCUAAGUCGGAUUAGCUAGUUGGUGGGGUAAAGGCCUACCAAGGCGACGAUCUGUAGCGGGUCUGAGAGGAUGAUCCGCCACACUGGGACUGAGACACGGCCCAGACUCCUACGGGAGGCAGCAGUGGGGAAUAUUGGACAAUGGGCGCAAGCCUGAUCCAGCCAUGCCGCGUGUGUGAAGAAGGCCUUAUGGUUGUAAAGCACUUUAAGCGAGGAGGAGGCUACUUUAGUUAAUACCUAGAGAUAGUGGACGUUACUCGCAGAAUAAGCACCGGCUAACUCUGUGCCAGCCGCCGCGGUAAGAC
rnacentral:rRNA from 1 species